AGAUUAAUGGCAGCUGAGCACAGCCCUGGCUGGACAGUCUCGGUUCUGCUUUCUUUUCUGAGAUCUUUUUACACGUUCUGUACCAGCGACCAUUCCACUCAGCCAGAGGUGCAUCCUGUCCUGUGGGAUUAGCUGAGCCCUCUUCCCCAACCUGGCAGAGUCAUCUGCAUUAUGGAAAGCUCUGGUGGCCUUUCCUGCCAUGGUCUGACCCUCCCUCUGCUGAGGCAAUGGCAGCGCAUCAAAGUCCCUACUCUCAAUGACUUUUUCUUCACUUUCCUCAGAGCUGCUCCACUUGGCUCUGGUCCUCUUCUUUUCAGAUUGGAAAGCAUUACUGAGAUUUCUCACGACUUUUAAAUUGCCUGCAGUCUGUUUUGGGGCAUAGGGACAGGGUUAGAGGCCCUGAAGCGAUGCUCACUGCUUGUCAUAGACAAUCUUUUUCUUGCUGUGACCACUAUUUCCAUCAGUUACAGUGCGAGGUGGCUCCCCCUUCACUGUUUGGUUGCUCUUGGUGAGCUAGAGCUGAAAUUCCCAGUGGAAGUUGAGUGUAAGUCCCGGUGGGAAGGUGAAUGCAGGAAAUCUUCCCUGGAAAUAAGAUAAAAGCCCAUGGAAGAUGGCUUUCCCUGCUCUGUUUUGUUAUCUUCGGGUCCCAGAUACAAAUGUGAAGAGAAUGGGCACGUUUCCUGGUGGGUCCUGGGUUCUACAGACCUUCAGGACAUUGCCUGAGAGCCAUAUAAGCUGGAAGGGCAAAGGAGCGUGGCUCGAAAAGGGAGAAAUGUGCAGCAUAAGCACCAGGAACAAACUCAGAAGCAGACAGGAAGGAGCCCCCAGGCUGAAGCUGACCCUGGAGGCAUCAAGUUCCCAGCUCUGGACCUUUGAGCAUGCUUCCGGUUCUGCUUUGAGGCCUCUCUGGCCAUGAUUGCUUCCCUAAUGACCACUGCUUCAGAGAGACCUGCCCCAACUCCACCCGCUGCAGUGGCAUGGUUGUGCCUCUGCACUCUGACAGAAGACUGGCUAUGCAGCUGUCCAGUGUUGAACACAGCCUUGCAUUGUAAUUGCUUAAAUGUCUGUUUCUCCAACUGCUCUAUGACCUUGUUAAAGAUGGGAACCAUGUCUUAGUUUGCUUACCCCUGACAUAGAGGAGCCUCAAUAAAUAAUAAAUCUUAAAAGUUUA